rnacentral:lncRNA from 1 species
CUGUAUCACUGCCCCCGACACCCUCCCCAGGGCCACCUGUCCUCUUCACAACCCCCACCACCCCCACUGAGCCCUGGCCUCCAACCCAUUUCCAUGUCCUCCUCUGAGUCCCAUUCCUUGCUGAACAAAGUGCUCAGUGAAAAAAAGGUGGAGGGUCUAGGGUGAAAGAAGAGAUCCAGGGUGUACCUGGUGCAGCCUUUUGGGAACAGAAACUUGCAAGUCUCUGUGGGCCUGCGCAAGCUAAGGCCUGGGCUCCUGGCCGACUUUUCUGCUGGUCCAGAAGACACCCACACGCCCAAACCUCGGGGAAUGCGGCUUGCUGACCUUGGCAGGAAGGAGGGCUGAGUCGGCCUUUUGCAUAACAUAAAUACUCAGCACAGCUGCCUCCGACCUGCCCACUUCUUGUCAAAUCCAAGAAGGAAGGGACCUCCUGGCCAAACCCUUUACCCCACUGCACCUCAGACCCCAAGGAACUUGGACUCUGCUCAAGUCAGUAAGUUGGAGCUCCCCACGUCCCCAAACUGGCCGCUCAUGGAGGAAAAACCUGGGGAGGAAGGACAGAGAGAAAACCCGAGGAGCUGCCUGUUAUAAUGGAAAAAUAAAACGUCUUCUUGGGAAGCUCCCUACAAACUCUGUUAGGGAAGCUCUGGUCCUUUCUGCCUUGGCUGAUCCAGAGGAGAAAAGGAAAGAAGAAAGAACAAAAUAAUUUAACUUGGCAAAAGAGCUCUUUCCCGGUGCUUUUCUCACCCAUCCUCACCAUGAACGCUGGACCCUGCAUCACCUUCCCAACCCCAUCCCUGGGGCUGAUCUUGACUCAGUCCUUUGUUCAAAAUGGUCUACCACACCAUAGGGUAAAUUGGAAGGAGGGUCUUUGGUCCUGGAAUUUGGAGAUGAGGCUCCAACAGGAAGGAGAACUGAGCUGCUAUGAGUGUAAGCAUUUUUGGUGGAGCCUACAUCAAUUCCAAGGUGUCAUUGGUAGCCCUUACGUGAGGGCUUGUCAGGAGAAGCCUGGACUAGCCCAUGGAGGAUGAGACUUCAUGGAGCAGAGAUGGGCCAUCCCAGUUGAGGGCCCCUAAAGCAAUCAACCUCGAGCUGAUCUGCCAGCUGACUGCAGCUGCAUGAGUGACCCCAGGCAAGACCAGCAGAAGAACUGCCAACUGAACCCAACCCAGCU